rnacentral:lncRNA from 1 species
UUAAGACUUCUUUUUUCCAGCCUAAUAAAUCCUUGUUUCUAAGAUAUGAAGCAUCCAAGAAAGUCCUACAAGACAAGGUGAAAUAAGAUUAACAUUUAUUUAUAGAUAUAAACUUCUAUGAAGAACAUAAAACUGAAUAUUUAUCUGACAAAUAGUGUCAAAUCUUAACCAAGUUAAAAUAGGUGCAGUAUAAGCUGCGCCCGCUUGAAGAAAACUUCAAUUCAGGAAAAGUUCUUAAUAAGAGCAUAAAUCGAUAGAUGUAUUUUUGUUUCCGAAUGAAAAUAUUCGCAUCAUGUUCGAGAAGAAAAUUUUAAAAUGAUACUAACUACUAAUAAUAUUUUAAUCAGUCAUAAAACCCAGAAUGAUGCUUAACCUAUGAAAGAAAAGAUACUUAACUAGAACCAUCUCAAACUACUUUUAAAAGUUUCCAACUACAAAUAUGUGCUCCAUGUUGAUUUCAUGUGUCAACUCAAGCAAUGCCUGCAAGGCACCAAACUCAGCUACAAGCUGCUUCAAAGAAUAUCUUUCAUUCUAAAGAAGGACAAGUAGAAAUCUGAACCUGAUGGGCCUAAAAGCACAUCCACAACGAGUUCUCAAUGAAGCUUCAGGAGGUGGUUUGCUGCUAAUGCCAGAGCAUUUUGUCCAGCUAAAUGUAGCAUAUAUAUGUAGGAUGCAAGAGUAAAACUAGAAACAAACUGAAGCAUGGUGAGAAGCUGGGUAAAUAAGGUCCUUUGGUCAACAUGACAGACUAGUAAAUUUGCUCAAUGCACCAUUUGGAUGGAUGGUGAGAUGUGAUUCCACUGAGCCGAAGCCUCAAAAUGGCAAUGGACCUAAUCAUACUUCACAGAGGUGGGAAUGCCUUCCUACCAUGCAUCCAAAUGAAGCACAAACUGCAUGCAUAGAAAUGAAAGUGCAUCAUGAUAACCGGUACCCAGCAUUCAUUCAUCAUCAUGAUGGGUAAAAAACCUACAACCAAAAAGUAGACGUCAACUGUCAACCGAUGAAUUUGCACCAUUGACGGAAGCAUUAAGUCUUGUAUAAUGCCCUUUUACAAAGUUAAAAAAGAAAGCAAAUUUUAAUCGCCAUGGAUAAACAAUGUUCAAAGCUCUUGAACUACAUGUCAGCGUGCAAAUUUUCAAAUAAUACCUAGGGAACUUCAAAGCAUAGGGAAAUUCCUUUGGAGUUGAAAAUCAUGACAUGGUAAGUUGUGGCCAAUACAUCAGACUUCUUGUCAAUUACAAGAACCUUAAAUGUUCUUAGUGCCUAUUGCCUAAUAUGUCUCUUCUAUUCUGUUGAGAUCGAUAACAUCAAAUAUGAUAGACAUUCCUAAACCUCAUUCUCAAAUACCUGGAUAAUUCCAAACCAAUAAAAUAAAAUAUCAAAAGGUUCAUAUAGAUUUAUUUAGGAAAAAUGUUUAUUAAGUUAACUAAGUUUGGCCUACGACGGUAUUUUAUACUCCAUUUUUCCCUAAUUUCUUCCCUUACUAACCAAAUGAAGAAACAAAAUAAAAUAACAACGCAGAUUAAGGUUUAAGAAAACCUCUUGAAGGAUCCAUGAACGGGAGUGAAGAUCUCAAGAGCAGCAUAUCAAUGAGAAUUGGAGAUCGGUUCAAAGCAUCGAAGCAGCUUCACUGAUCGAUACGAUGAGUGAGAGAAGGAUCCAUUAACGGGAUUGAAGAGCUCGAGAGCAGCAGAUCGAUUGAGAACCGGAGAUCGGUUCAAAGCAUCGAAACAGCUUCACGGAUCGAUACAAAGAGUAAGAGAACCAUGAAUACAGGUACACUUCAAGCCAUUACCUGCAAUCAAAAUUCAACAGGUAAUCAGCCAACCACCUAAAAACCGGCAUUUUCUCCUUGCCAAUAAUUUCUUCCACAGGAUUUUGAAAUUUGAAAAAAAAAAAAAAGGAAAGCAAUUAGAGAUAAAUUUGGGGAAACCCUAGGGUUUUGCAAACAGUUUGAUCGAGAAAAUUUAAAACGUACGAGAUUACGUGUUGAAGUUUUUCUUUUUUU